rnacentral:misc_RNA from 1 species
GAUGAAGAACGUAGCGAAAUGCGAUAAGUAAUGCGAAUUGCAGAAUUCAGUGAAUCAUCGAAUCUUUGAACGCACAUUGCGCCCGCCAGUAUUCUGGCGGGCAUGCCUGUCUGAGCGUCAUUUCAACCCCUCGCAACCGGUUCGCGUUCGCGCGCCCGGGGGCGGUGUUGGAGAUCGGCCGCCCCUCGCGGGUGGCCGGCUCCCAAAUCCAGUGGCGACCGCGCCGUAGCCUCCUCUGCGUAGUAGUUACACACCUCGCGGACGGAGAGCGGCGCGGCCCUGCCGUAAAACACCCCCAUUCUUUCACAAGGUUGACCUCAGAUCAGGUGGGAAUACCCGCUGAACUUAAGCAUAUCAAUAAGCGGAGGA